UGCAGUCGAACGGUAACAGGAAGUGCUUGCACUUCGCUGACGAGUGGCGGACGGGUGAGUAAUGCUUGGGAACUUGCCUUUAGGUGGGGGAUAACAGUUGGAAACGACUGCUAAUACCGCAUAAUGUCUACGGACCAAAGGGGGCUUCGGCUCUCGCCUUGAGAGAGGCCCAAGUGAGAUUAGCUAGUUGGUGGGGUAAAGGCCUACCAAGGCAACGAUCUCUAGCUGUUCUGAGAGGAAGAUCAGCCACACUGGGACUGAGACACGGCCCAGACUCCUACGGGAGGCAGCAGUGGGGAAUAUUGCACAAUGGGGGAAACCCUGAUGCAGCCAUGCCGCGUGUGUGAAGAAGGCCUUCGGGUUGUAAAGCACUUUCAGUUGUGAGGAAAGGUUGGUAGUUAAUACCUGCCAGCUGUGACGUUAACAACAGAAGAAGCACCGGCUAACUCCGUGCCAGCAGCCGCGGUAAUACGGAGGGUGCGAGCGUUAAUCGGAAUUACUGGGCGUAAAGCGCACGCAGGCGGCUUGUUAAGCUAGAGGUGAAAGCCCCGCGCUCAACGUGGGAACUGCCUUUAGAACUGGCAGGCUAGAGUCUUGGAGAGGGGAGUGGAAUUCCAGGUGUAGCGGUGAAAUGCGUAGAUAUCUGGAGGAACAUCAGUGGCGAAGGCGGCUCCCUGGCCAAAGACUGACGCUCAUGUGCGAAAGUGUGGGUAGCGAACAGGAUUAGAUACCCUGGUAGUCCACACCGUAAACGCUGUCUACUAGCUGUUUGUGUAUUUAAUACGUGAGUA
rnacentral:rRNA from 1 species